GUGCCAGCAGCCGCGGUAAUACGUAGGGUGCGAGCGUUGUCCGGAAUUAUUGGGCGUAAAGAGCUCGUAGGCGGUUUGUCGCGUCGGCCGUGAAAUCCUGCCGCUUAACGGUGGGCGUGCGGUCGAUACGGGCAGACUUGAGUUCGGUAGGGGAGACUGGAAUUCCUGGUGUAGCGGUGAAAUGCGCAGAUAUCAGGAGGAACACCGGUGGCGAAGGCGGGUCUCUGGGCCGAUACUGACGCUGAGGAGCGAAAGCGUGGGGAGCGAACAGGAUUAGAUACCCUGGUAGUCC
rnacentral:rRNA from 1 species